GUGUACCCCUCGUACACGCCGGUUCUUCCGCGCCGUCCACGCCCACCUGACGACUGCUCGCUACGUCUUGCGAGCC
rnacentral:sRNA from 1 species